CCUACGGGGGGCAGCAGUGAGGAAUAUUGGUCAAUGGACGAGAGUCUGAACCAGCCAAGUAGCGUGAAGGAUGACUGCCCUAUGGGUUGUAAACUUCUUUUAUAUGGGAAUAAAACGUUCCACGUGUGGGAUUUUGUAUGUACCAUAUGAAUAAGGAUCGGCUAACUCCGUUCCAGCAGCCGCGGUCAUACGGAGGGUCCGGGCGUUAUCCGGAUUUAUUGGGUUUAAGGGGAGCGUAGGUGGAUUGGUAAGGCAGGUGUGAAAGUUUGGGGCUCAACCGUAAAAUUGCAGUUGAAACUGGCAGUCUGGAGUACAGUAGAGGUGGGCGGAAUUCGUGGUGUAGCGGUGAAAUGCUUAGAUAUCACGAAGAACUCCGAUUGCGAAGGCAGUUCACUGGACUGCAACUGACACUGAGGCUCGAAAGUGUGGGUAUCAAACAGGAUUAGAUACCCUUGUAGUC
rnacentral:rRNA from 1 species